AUUGGACAAUGGCAGGAAGGCUGAAUCCAGCCAUACCGCGUGAAGGAAUAAGGUCAUAUGGAUUAUAAACUUAUUUUGUACGAGAGCAAUAAGUGUCACGAGUGACACGAUGAGAGUAUCGUACGAAAUAAGCAUCGGCUAACUCCGUGCCAGCAGCCGCGGUAAUACGGAGGAUGCGAGCGUUAUCCGGAUUUAUUGGGUUUAAAGGGUGCGUAGGCGGGAUUUUAAGUCAGCGGUGAAACGCAAGGGCUCAACCCUUGACCUGCCGUUGAAACUGGAGUUCUUGAAUGCGGAUGCUGUGGGAGGAAUGUGUGGUGUAGCGGUGAAAUGCAUAGAUAUCACACAGAACACCGAUUGCGAAGGCAUCUCACAAAUCCGUGAUUGACGCUGAGGCACGAAAGUGUGGGGAUCAAACAGGAUUAGAUACCCUGGUAGUCCACACUGUAAACGAUGGAUAACUCGCUGUCGGCGAUACACAGUCGGUGGCCAAGCGAAAGCGAUAAGUUAUCCACCUGGGGAGUACGACCGCAAGGUUGAAACUCAAAGGAAUUGACGGGGGCCCGCACAAGCGGAGGAACAUGUGGUUUAAUUCGAUGAUACGCGAGGAACCUUACCCGGGCUCGAACGGCAAGUGAACGACACAGAGAUGUGAAGGUCCUUCGGGACACUUGUCGAGGUGCUGCAUAGUUGUCGUCAGCUCGUGCCGUGAGGUGUCGGCUUAAGUGCCAUAACGAGCGCAACCCUUGCCAUUAGUUACCAGCAUGUAAUGAUGGGGACUCUAGUGGGACUGCCACCGUAAGGUGUGAGGAGGGGGGGGAUGACGUCAAAUCAGCACGGCCCUUACGUCCGGGGCGACACACGUGUUACAAUGGUGGGUACAGAGGGCAGCUACCUGGUGACAGGAUGCAAAUCUCGAAAACCCAUCUCAGUUCGGAUCGGAGUCUGCAACUCGACUCCGUGAAGUUGGAUUCGCUAGUAAUCGCGCAUCAGCCAUGGCGCGGUGAAUACGUUCCCGGGCCUUGCACACACCGCCCGUCAAG
rnacentral:rRNA from 1 species